GAGGAUAUAGCUCAGCAGUAGAGUGCCUGCCUAGCAUGCACGAGGUCUUGGGUUCAAUCCCCAGUACCUCCA
rfam:Camelus ferus unplaced genomic scaffold scaffold406, whole genome shotgun sequence.